GAGAAAAAAAUAGCAGGACCAAAACUCACAGCUCAGUGCUCCAAAUAGCAUUCUCUUCUCCAGACUCUAAGAAUGCCAAAGUCACAAGUCAACUUCCUACCCCAUGCUGAGUGCCUGCCUCCCCUCUGUUCCAUAGAGCAGAGAACUGACAGCUCUUCUCCCUUGCUGGAAGGAAGCUGGAGGUUCUGCUGCCCACUCCCACCCCAGGAGUAGGAGGAUGGAGAAAAGGGGGGCUGAUGGCCUCCUGUACACACUCAGCCCCACCCACCCACCAGACUCAGGUCUGAGAUGCACAGGGAACUCAGAACCCAGAACCAGCCUGCUGACAUCGAAGGGCAGCUUCAAGAGACCUUGGAAAACGGGACACUAUGGAACUCUGCAGUGGGUGCUACGGGAGGAGCCGCUGUGCUUCAGCGGAGGGAACUCCACUGCUCAGGACUCCACCAAAAGGUGGCCGCUCAGAACAGGCUCCAGACCAGGUUAUGGAGAAACUUUCUGCAAAGAUCCUCAUCCACUGGCUCAGAUCCUUCAAAAGAGGGACACAAUUGUGUUCAGUCUUCUGGCUGAAAUGCUAUUAACAGAGAAGAUAAACUCAGCAAAGGAAGAAGUGCUGAAGUCUGUCCACACACCUGGAGAGGUUGUCACACAUAUUGUCCUCUAUUUCAGUCCCACAGAGGAGCAUUUAUCAUCCGUUGUCUGGUCUGUAGCCCAGCCUUGCACAUUCAUGUAUAUUCUCCACACCCAUCAAGCUUCCCUAAAAAUCAUGUGCUGGUCCCCAUUCUUUCCCUCCCCUGCAAAAAAAGAUGUGUGUGCGUU